GACGAACGCUGGCGGCGUGCUUAACACAUGCAAGUCGAGCGGUAAGGCCCUUUCGGGGGUACACGAGCGGCGAACGGGUGAGUAACACGUGGGUGACCUGCCCUCAGCUUCUGGGAUAAGCCCGGGAAACUGGGUCUAAUACCGGAUAUGACUUCAUGACGCAUGUUGUGGAGUGGAAAGCCUUGUGCGGCUGAGGAUGGGCCCGCGGCCUAUCAGCUUGUUGGUGGGGUGANGGCCUACCAAGGCGACGACGGGGUAGCCGGCCUGAGAGGGCGACCGGGCCACACUGGGACUGAGAUA
rnacentral:rRNA from 1 species